rnacentral:lncRNA from 1 species
GGGCAAGGGCGCGCCCAAAAUUAACCGCCCGAGGGCCGGGGCGCCAAGUUCGUGCAGCGGAAAAAGGCCACAAAAACGGGUGGGCUAUAGCCUUGGGGGGCGGGGCUGGCCCACUUCGUCCGCCGGACUCGGAAUGCCGCAUGACUUUGCGAGGGGCCUCCGUGUGUCAAAAAUAGGCCGCGGGCAAAGGCGCGCCCAAAAAUAACCGCCCGAAGGCCGGGGCGCCAAGUUCGUCCAGCGGAAAAAGGCCACAGAAACGGGUGGGCUAUAGCCUUGGGGGGUGGGGCUGGCCAACUUCGUCCGCCGGACUCGGAAUGCCGCGAGACUUUGCGAGGGGCCUCCGUGUGCCAAAAAUAGGCCGCGGGCAAAGCCGCACCCAAAAAAUACCGCCCGAAGGCGGGGGCCCCAAGUUCGUCCAGCGCAAAAAGGCCACAAAAACGGGUGGGCUAUAGCCUUGGGGGGUGGGGCUGGCCAACUUCGUCCGCCGGGCUCGGAAUGCCGCGAGACUUUGUGAGGGGCCUUCGUGUGCCAAAAAUAGGCCGCGGACAAAGCCACUCCCAAAAAUAACCGCCCGAAGGCCGGGGCGCCAAGUUCGUCCAGCGGAAAAAGGCCACAAAAACGGGUGGGCUAUAGCCUUGGGGGGUGGGGCUGGCCAACUUCGUCCGCCGGACUCGGAAUGCCGCGAGACUUUGCGAGGGGCCUCCGUGUGCCAAAAAUAGGCCACGGGCAAAGCCGCGCCCAAAAAAUACCGCCCGAAGGCCGGGGCGCCAAGUUUGUCCAACGGAAAAAGGCCACAAA